rfam:Camelus ferus unplaced genomic scaffold scaffold106, whole genome shotgun sequence.
GAGGGUGUAGCUCAGUGGUGGAGCACGUGCUUAGCGUGCAUGGGGUCCUGGGUUCAAUCCCCAGUGCCCCCG